rnacentral:misc_RNA from 1 species
UAGUUCUGACCUGACUCCUGC